ACUUGAUCUCAAAUCAGGCAGGACUACCCGCUGAACUUAAGCAU
rnacentral:rRNA from 1 species